rnacentral:rRNA from 1 species
AGCGAACGCUGGCGGCAGGCCUAACACAUGCAAGUCGAACGAACUCUUCGGAGUUAGUGGCGGACGGGUGAGUAACACGUGGGAACGUGCCUUUAGGUUCGGAAUAACUCAGGGAAACUUGUGCUAAUACCGAAUGUGCCCCCCGAUUCAUUUUGGGGUGGGAAAGAUUUAUCGCCUUUAGAGCGGCCCGCGUCUGAUUAGCUAGUUGGUGAGGUAAAGGCUCACCAAGGCGACGAUCAGUAGCUGGUCUGAGAGGAUGAUCAGCCACAUUGGGACUGAGACACGGCCCAAACUCCUACGGGAGGCAGCAGUGGGGAAUCUUGCGCAAUGGGCGAAAGCCUGACGCAGCCAUGCCGCGUGAAUGAUGAAGGUCUUAGGAUUGUAAAAUUCUUUCACCGGGGACGAUAAUGACGGUACCCGGAGAAGAAGCCCCGGCUAACUUCGUGCCAGCAGCCGCGGUAAUACGAAGGGGGCUAGCGUUGCUCGGAAUUACUGGGCGUAAAGGGAGCGUAGGCGGACAUUUAAGUCAGGGGUGAAAUCCCGGGGCUCAACCUCGGAAUUGCCUUUGAUACUGGGUGUCUUGAGUAUGAGAGAGGUGUGUGGAACUCCGAGUGUAGAGGUGAAAUUCGUAGAUAUUCGGAAGAACACCAGUGGCGAAGGCGACACACUGGCUCAUUACUGACGCUGAGGCUCGAAAGCGUGGGGAGCAAACAGG